ACAAACGACUCUCGGCAACGGAUAUCUCGGCUCACGCAUCGAUGAAGAACGUAGCAAAAUGCGAUACUUGGUGUGAAUUGCAGAAUCCCGUGAACCAUCGAGUUUUUGAACGCAAGUUGCGCCCGAAGCCACUCGGCCGAGGGCACGCCUGCCUGGGCGUCACGC
rnacentral:rRNA from 8 species